rnacentral:tRNA from 1 species
GAAGGGGUAAGCUAUAGAAAGCUAUAGGACUCAUAAUUCUAAGAAACUCUUGUUCCCUUCA